GCUGACUGGCAGUUCCAGAGAGAGAUGCAUGGCAUUAUGUGGAGUGGCUGACUGGCAGUUCCAGAGAGAGAUGCAUGGCAUUAUGUGGAGUGGCUGACUGGCAGUUCCAGAGAGAUGGUUGUAUGAGGGAGAGAGAUGCAUGGCUGAGGAAGACUACUGCUGCCACACACACACACACACACACACGACAAAACCUGGAAAGAGCUGAACACGCUCACAAAUCACCAAUCAAUACAAUUGAAAUAGUUGCUUGAAUUUCUUAAUUUACAAUAAAAGGAAAAUGAAAAUGCUAACAUGUUGAAAACACCUGAUCCAGCUACUGUCUGUAGCCACCCCGAAACCCAGAUGUAUUUAACUCAACACUUAUUAUAGGUUUGCGUUCUUGUGGAUGGGGGUUGCUUCAAGAGAACAGUGAACUGUAAUAAAAAGGACAGUGAAACUAACUCACACACCUUUAACAAGCAAUUCUUUCACAGAAAAAUAUUCAUACAAAGUUAAAAUCGGAGUUAAGAGUGACUGAUUUGAUGUCUGAUCAAAUGAAAUAGAUAACGGUUAAGAGAUAAUCAUUUGGUCAUUGCCAGGGUACAGUUCGUGACCUUAAGAGGGGUCACCAACUGUAAAAUCCUUUUCUCUUGCACAAUGUAUUGAGACAAAAUAAAAGUGAAUGAAAGGGGAUACAUCGGAGGUGAACGAACAGAGACAGAAGGUAUGGAUAUGGACAGCUGAAGGGACGGAUGUUGUUUUGGAAAACACUGCAGUAAUUUACUCUCUCCCUCUCUCUUCAACAUAGAAACAGCUUGAUUCUCUAGUCUCAGUCUAGCACAGAUUACCCAGAACCUACUUGUGGAACUAGCGACUUCUCAUAGAUUUUUUUGUUCAUAUAUCUUUUUAUUGAAUUACUGUAUUUUUUUCCUCUUCAAAACAUCUGGAUGUAGCUGUUCGAGGACUUGGGGAAUAUCGUCAAUUCUUGAGAGUUAUACAUGCCCAGAAUAAGAGUAACAGCGUAGGAUAUUAAGGGGACUUAUUGUAGCCAUGGCUUUCCUCAAACGUCAAAAGUCGUACCUGUCGACCAGAGUUUUGGCAUAUCCAUUUAAAUUCUGACAGAUGUUCUGAAAAAAAAUGGCAAAAAACAGUUAUUUCACUGACAGACCAGAGAGAAUGUUGAGCCAAGUUACUGACAAUAUAGAGACAGGGUUAGAGAUGGACUUUCACACACACACACACACACACACACACACACACACACACACACACACACACACACACACACACACACACACACACACACACACACAACCUCAAACCCUAGAUAAAAAAUAAAAAAAGGAAAUGAAAGUAAUUAAAGUGUCUUGGCAAAGCUUCAAACACUGUGUGGGCGGCUAGCUUCUCAACACGACGCAUAUUAAUCAAUAUUAGAUCCAUGGAAACACUGACAUGGUUAAACUUUCUACAGACUAGUUUCCCAGAGAGAAGAAAAAGGUCCCAUAUUUACUUGGUACCUCAGAAUGACACCUUUUAGAUAUGUAUAUUACCUAUGUAAGGUUAAGUAUUACUGUUUAAGACCGCAUCGCGCUUAGUUAGGCUAGUUCCAAGGUUAUAAUUAGCCUGGCUACCAGUCUCUUAGUUAGGCUAGCUCCAAGGUUAUCAUUAGCCUGGGUACCAGUCUCUUAGUUAGGCUAGCUCCAAGGUUAUCAUUAGCCUGGGUACCAGCCUCUAGCGUAUCCACUCCCUAUACACAAAUCAAAUCAACAUAUUAAUUGUUAACGUACACGUGUUUAGCAGAUGUUAUUGCGGGUGUAGCAAAAUACUCCAUGUCACGUGCCAAAGAUGGUAACGGCAAGGAGUGGAAUGUUAGCUAAGAGAGACUGGUACUCAGACUAGGUUAUCAUGACAGUUCUAUGUUCCAUUAUAGAACGGUUGGGGUGACUGUUCUAUGUUUUUGAAUUCCAUGUUCCUAGCCUAGGUGAUAGAUCUACAGUAUCUUUCCCUUGCAACAGUUGCCCCACCCCCCCGAACAGAAAUAUGGCCUUUCAGUAUAGAUAGCCAGCGUAAACUGAUAAUGGCUCUUAGGACUGGGACCCUAUUCUCCCAGGGUUUAGAGAGCCCAAACAAAACUGUGUAGCCUAUU
rnacentral:lncRNA from 1 species